rnacentral:rRNA from 1 species
UACAGAGGGUGCAAGCGUUGUUCGGAAUUAUUGGGCGUAAAGCGCGUGUAGGCGGUUUUGCAAGUCGGGGGUGAAAGCCCUCAGCUCAACUGAGGAAGUGCGCCCGAAACUGCAGAGCUUGAGUACCGGAGAGGAUGGGGGAAUUCCCCAAGUAGAGGUGAAAUUCGUAGAUAUGGGGAGGAACACCGGUGGCGAAGGCGACCAUCUGGACGGAUACUGACGCAGAGACGCGAAAGCGUGGGUAGCAAACAGG